rnacentral:rRNA from 1 species
AUGAACGCUGGCGGCGUGCCUAAUACAUGCAAGUCGAGCGAACGGACGAGAAGCUUGCUUUUCUGAUGUUAGCGGCGGACGGGUGAGUAACACGUGGAUAACCUACCUAUAAGACUGGGAUAACUUCGGGAAACCGGAGCUAAUACCGGAUAAUAUUUUGAACCGCAUGGUUCAAAAGUGAAAGACGGUCUUGCUGUCACUUAUAGAUGGAUCCGCGCUGCAUUAGCUAGUUGGUAAGGUAACGGCUUACCAAGGCAACGAUGCAUAGCCGACCUGAGAGGGUGUUCGGCCACACUGGAACUGAGACACGGUCCAGACUCCUACGGGAGGCAGCAGUAGGGAAUCUUCCGCAAUGGGCGAAAGCCUGACGGAGCAACGCCACGUGAGUGAUGAAGGUCUUCGGAUCGUAAAACUCUGUUAUUAGGGAAGAACAUAUGUGUAAGUAACUGUGCACAUCUUGACGGUACCUAAUCAGAAAGCCACGGCUAACUACGUG